GACAGAGGUGCCGAGCGUUAGGCGGAAUCACUGGGCUUAAAGCGUGUGUAGGCGGACUUGUAAGUACCUUGUGAAAUCCCACAGCUCAACUGUGGAACUGCUUGGUAUACUGCUUGUCUUGAGCCACUUAGGGGCAGUCGGAACAGACGGUGGAGCGGUGAAAUGCGUAGAUAUCUGGAGGAACACCGGUGGCGAAGGCGGCAUCCUGGACCGACACUGACGCUGAUGAGCGAAAGCCAGGGGAGCAAACGGG
rnacentral:rRNA from 1 species